UAUCUGUCCAGUUUAGGUGAAUAUGUGAUUCUUGUUCCUGGCUGUCAGGAGAGGAACAUCAGAGGAACAUCAUGUGAUUAUCAUAACCCUCUUAUUAGAGGUGUUUCUGCCUGUGGACACAUGAGGAGCGGUCACUCCAACACUGCCAGCUUCCUCCGCUCUGCUCCGCUGCGGACAACAGGAGUGUGUCGAGGAGUCCCCAGAUGGACUUACUCGCAGCGGCUGAGAGCCGAGGCGACGUCCGGACACGGUUCAUACGUGUAUGAGAAACUGCUGCCGUCUGAAUGGACCUGAAAUUGGACACGAGAGGAAAAAGGACAUUUAUUUACAACGCGUGUGUGUGUGUGUGUGUGUGUGUGUGUGUGGACAUACUCGGCU